rnacentral:rRNA from 1 species
GACGAACGCUGGCGGCGCGCCUAACACAUGCAAGUCGAACGAGCGAGAGAGAGCUUGCUUUCUCAAGCGAGUGGCGCACGGGUGAGUAACGCGUGAGGAACCUGCCUCAAAGAGGGGGACAACAGUUGGAAACGACUGCUAAUACCGCAUAAGCUCACGACCCGGCAUCGGGUCAAGGGAAAAGGAGCAAUCCGCUUUGAGAUGGCCUCGCGUCCGCUUAGCUAGUUGGUGAGGUAACGGCCCACCAAGGCGACGAUCGGUAGCCGGACUGAGAGGUUGAACGGCCACAUUGGGACUGAGCCACGGCACAGACUCCUACGGGAGGCAGCAGUGGGGAAUAGUGCACCAUGGGGGAAACCCUGAUGCAGCGACGCUGCGUGGAGGAAGAAGGUCUUCGGAUUGUAAACUCCAGUUGUUGAGGAAGAUAAUGACGGUACUCAACAAGGAAGUGACGGCUAACUACGUG